UCCCGGUUGCCCGGGCAGUUCGUCCAGAGUGCCCAACCAAAUGCUGGCAACAGGACGUGGGGGUUGCGCUCGUUGCGGGACUUAACCCAACAUCUCACGACACGAGCUGACGACAACCAUGCAACUCCUGUGUUCCGGUCCCUUGCGGGAAGCCGGGUUUCCCCGGAUGUCCGGACAUGUCAAGUCUGGGUAAGGUUCUUCGGUUAGUGACGAAUUAAUCCACAUGCUCCACCGCUUGUGCGGGCCCCCGUCAAUUCCUUUGAGUUUCAACCUUGCGGCCGUACUCCCCAGGCGGGGUACUUAGUGCGUUAGCGACGGCACCGGGGGGGUCGAUACCCCCGACACCUAGUACCCAUCGUUUACGGCGUGGACUAC
rnacentral:misc_RNA from 1 species